rnacentral:rRNA from 1 species
GUGAGGAAUAUUGGUCAAUGGACGAGAGUCUGAACCAGCCAAGUCGCGUGAAGGAAGACGGUUCUAUGAAUUGUAAACUUCUUUUGUGCAGGAAUAAAGUGGGUUACGUGUAACCUUUUGUAUGUACUGUACGAAUAAGGAUCGGCUAACUCCGUGCCAGCAGCCGCGGUAAUACGGAGGAUCCGAGCGUUAUCCGGAUUUAUUGGGUUUAAAGGGUGCGUAGGGGGAUUGAUAAGUCAGCGGUGAAAGUUUGCAGCUUAACUGUAAAAUUGCCGUUGAAACUGUCGGUCUUGAGUGCAAAUGAGGUAGGCGGAAUGUGUUGUGUAGCGGUGAAAUGCUUAGAUAUAACACAGAACUCCGAUUGCGAAGGCAGCUUACUGGGAUGCAACUGACACUGAUGCACGAAAGCGUGGGUAUCAAACAGGAUUAGAAACCUUGGUAGUCC